UUUGUGUCUACCUUUAUGUCUACAUUUGUGUCUACCUUUAUGUCUACAUUUAUGUCUACCUUUAUGUCUAACUUUGUGUCUACUUUUUUGUCUUCCUUUUUCUUGGAUGAUACCUGAAAAGGAUAAAGCCAUAAACGCAACCAUAAACUCAUCUAACUCAGGAAUAAGCAGUAAGAAAACUUGCAUUAUUUGACUGGCUGAACAAAUUUGUGUGUGAUUUGAUUUGCGUCAUACUAUGAAACAAUGGUCAAUUGUAAAUUGCAUUUAUGAAAGGAGAACAAUUUGUGUAGAAUCACCGUCAUUUGUUUUGAGGAUUCCAAAAACGCAUAGUUAUCCGGUAAUUUGUAUAAAUAUGAAUAAUGACUGUAAAACAAUCAGGUGAAAAUAAUCCAUAAUAUUAACAUGCUUAAAGCGGCUUAAUUCGGUCUGUGAACAAAACUAUGAUUUAUUUUAACUGCUUUGACUUAUCAACUACUAGGUGUCAUGGCAAACAGUCAUUUUGUAUUUGUCAAGGCGACAAAUACAAAGUAAGAGUUUUGGAUAGUUGUGCAGAGCAAUAUCUAUUAAAUUGUAUUCCCAUAAACAGUGAAGAUUAUCAACAUCUGUGAAUGUAACUAAACAAAAAGGAAUCUACGACUUCGAAAAAGCUUGUCAAAAAAUGUUCUCACUAAGAACAGCUAAAGUCAAUGGUUAUUCCAGUGAUCCACGUUGGAGACUCUUGGUAAAAGUCGAUCAUUUGGCAUAAACAAAUUAAGAGCAAGUUGAAACAUUACCGAUAUAUGUGAGAAAUUACGGAUGAUGACAGACUACGCGAAGGAGAGGGAUCAAGUCAAGGUUUAUACAACAUGAACAACGAUGAAACAAAGCAAAAAUCAACAAAGCAAGCUGUACGGAAAGGGAAAAAACACAAAGUCAGCCACAGUCCACUUAACCACUUUUCCAGUUUUAGUUUGUUAUCAUGCAUUUAAGAAAUAUCUACGGUAUUCUUGAACAAUACAGCUCAACAUCCAUACAACGAAGCAGCCAACAUAUAGCUAUUAAUGUGUAAUAAUGAAAUUACAGAUACCAACUAAACUCGUGACAUCUACGUGAAGAUGCUCCUUCUGUUCAGCUCGCUCAUCAAUCAUCCAAAAAGACUCUUAGCUGCCUAAACCAAUACCAAGCAAGAAAUUUUCCAUUCUCAACUUCAAUAUUGUUUGAGUGACCGAAAGACGAAAAGAAAAUCCACAAGUGCCAUUUAUGAAAAUUUACCAACAACUUUUGAUAACAGCUGCUGAAAGAAAUGUGAAAAGCAAAACCAUUGUGAAAUAUGCUACAGAAGUACUUGCUUCGAUAUCAUGCGUAAAAAAAGAUCUCAAGUCUAAUGUACUCCUGUUGUGUGGUAAGACUACAUACGAUAAACAAAUCUCUUUUGCAACUAAAUGCGUUUUGAUUUAUCUCUAAUGUUCUUCUUAAAAUGUCAAUGGUUUAAAAGUUGAUGUUAACAAUGUAUAUUUACUUAAUACGAAUUAUAUUUUUUUAGUACUUUAAUUAAUACACUGUCUUAAAAUGA